CAGUUGAUGUGUUUCACAUCAGUGUUUCUCUGUCUAUCCCCCUCCCUUCAACCCUCUAAAAAUCAAUGGAAAAAUAUCCUUGGGUGGGGAUUAACUAAAAUAAAAAGGCAACCUUUUUUCUUGGGUGAAAAGGAAAUGAGGAAAAAAUAUGAUCAUGUGUUACAGAGUAAAGCAAGACAGUGAAGCUCCUCAUUUCGAUGGCCUUGUUGUAUUCCAAACAACAAUGGAGCAGGUUCCUGCACUGAAAGGCUUAAGGAGGCCAAGGUUCUGGGGAGAUGUAAUGCAGAGAUCAAGGAAAUCAGAAUGUGGUCCAGCAAUAGAGACCUAUGAUUUGUGGCAUUGCAUUAGCUCCUGCCUACAGGAUUCUCUCUGCUCACCCAGGGUUGACUUUAAUUUGUGUGUUAUUAAAUAAGCAUUAUUUUUGUCUUACGUUGGUGCUUAAAUAUUCCUUUUUUUUUUUCUUUUCUUUUUUUAUGGAGUAAGAUUAUUAGAUUGGACAGAAGUCAUGAUUUCAGAUUUUCAUCAACUUUAGCUUCCAGCUAUGUUAUUUCUGUACUCUAACUCAGGAUUCUCAUUCACAAGGGAGUUUUCCUUAUAUGCAGAUCUGAAAUCUAUCUUUUCUAGAAAUGAAAAUAUAAUCAUGAAGUUUUUCUGUUUCAUGGCUUCUGUACGAUAGGGAAAGGAAAUACAAGUUAUAAAACUAAGUUCUUGGUUCACUUUAAAGAAUAGAAAUUUUUUCAUAAUUAACAAAAACAUUUGUGUGAUCAUCUUAGUUUUGGGUAAGAAAGACAUUUCUCUUUCUAUUAUCUAUAAAUAAAAAAUUGUGACUUGGAGAGGGUGAGCAAUAUGUGGAUUCCAAACAUUAAUCUUAAAAUAAUCUGUAUUUUAGAAGUCUUUAGCAUGUCCCACUUAAUUCUUAUAUUAAUUUACUCUCACCUCCAAAUUUUUAUUUUAUUUUAAGGCAAAGCCAGUGAAAACAUGUCUUUUCAGUUGUAAUAUUCUCCACUAAAAUAUUUUACAAUUUAGUUUUUAGUGGAUCUCUGAAAAAUAGAACUCUCAGUUGCUAAUUGCCAAAUUUUAAUUAUUCAGCCAGUUUAAGGUGUUAAAUUGAGCCUGUGACAUUGACUGUAAUAAUUUAUAUACAUGCAGUUAGUUGGCUUUUACAUCUUGUUUUUCUCACAUACUUAUCUAGUACUUGACUACAAAAAUCUGAAUACUAAAGUACAUUUUGUUUUUGUCUUAGAGCUUUUCUAAAAUGUUAAAAUCUAAUUAUCAGAAUAACUUUUUACAAGCCAUCCUGCAAGAGUUGAAUUGGUUGUUCUCUAAUUAAAGGAGUUUGAGUCAGAAUUCAGACAGAAGACUUU